rnacentral:rRNA from 1 species
AUUGAACGCUGGCGGCAUGCUUUACACAUGCAAGUCGAACGGUAGAGGGGGCAACCCCUUGAGAGUGGCGAACGGGUGAGUAAUGCAUCGGAACGUGCCCAGUCGUGGGGGAUAACGCAGCGAAAGCUGUGCUAAUACCGCAUACGAUCUCUGGAUGAAAGCGGGGGACCGAAAGGCCUCGCGCGAUUGGAGCGGCCGAUGUCAGAUUAGGUAGUUGGUGGGGUAAAGGCUCACCAAGCCAACGAUCUGUAGCGGGUCGGAGAGGACGACCAGCCAAACUGGGACUGAGACACGGCCCAGACUCCUACGGGAGGCAGCAGUGGGGAAUUUUGGACAAUGGGCGCAAGCCUGAUCCAGCAAUGCCGCGUGCAGGAAGAAGGCCUUCGGGUUGUAAACUGCUUUUGUACGGAACGAAAAGGUCUGGGUUUAUACCCUGGGCACAUGACGGUACCGUAAGAAUAAGCACCGGCUAACUACGUGCCAGCCGCCGCCGUAA